UCUUCCAUUUUCAACGUUGUCAAGGAUCUCCUUAUGUAUGUUUGUGCUGCGAAACCUUUUUUCGCGAACGAGGUUGAUAGGAAGUUCCACAUUUCCUUAGCAGUAUUUAUGUCACGUACGUAUUCCAGCAGGUACAUCCGCUGUUCUCACCUCCUCCACACCGUGAACCGACAACUGCGUUUCAACCCGGAACAUCCUUCUCCAGCAACCUGAAUGAUUCCUACUUUUGACGGUUCCAGUUCAGGUUCCAAUGGCCAGACGCAACUGGGCCCAUAACCUGUUGAAAAAAGACGUCUGUUCGAUACAAAGUCUGGUUUAUUACUAACGGGAAAAAUUACAUUCUUGACUACAA